AAUAGGUUCUAAAGUGGCCCCAUCUUUUUUUACUAUGCGUGUAGGAGCCUCGUCAAAAUCUUGAGUAUCAGUCUUGGAUAUUUCAUCAGGUUCACUUAACCUUUCAUUUAUAUUGUCUUCAUUCUAACCAUGGAUUUGCCUGGACUACCAUUGAAGAUGCAGAAGCCUGACCAAUUGGUCUAUAUUCAUCAUUAAUUUCACCUUCAAAGUCUUCCUCUUUAUCACUUUCACCACUAUCAGCUCCUGUAUCCAUAUCAUCAUCAUUGGCAAACACAUUGUAACCGUCAACAAUAUCAUCAUCUCGUCUGAAACCAAGAUUACCUGAUUCAACUGAAGGUGAAACAAUUGAUCUUUUGACAAUAUUUUUAGGUCCUUUAGGUUCACACUUGGAUUACGGAGCAUUUCAGUUUUACGCAAAUUUUUCGCAAAAGAAUGUUUCCCGUUAUUUAUGUUUGACUCGGAUUUACUAAUUACUUUGGAAUGGUUGAUCUUUGUUAGUGUAUGGUUUGAUCGAUCAGAAUCUCCCUUCACAGCCUGUCUAUGUAAUGGAGCUCGAGACAUUAAUGACAACUCUUUUCGGUUUAAUUUUUCUUGCUUAGUCUCUCCUAGUUUCUUGGGUGGUAUUUUAGUCAAUUUAUGUUCUCGGAUUGUUGCUGGAUGAUGUCCAGUUUCUGGUACCGAUUGGGGUUGCGUUUCUGCUUUAACACGUGGUUUUGUUGACUGACUGGUUGAUACCCGAUUAGACUUUUUAUGACUUCUCGAUAUACCACUUCGAUUAUUUCUUUUCACCAGGACUCUCUUCUUGCGAUCAGCUGACGGAAUGUAUUGUAAAAGAGCUUGACCAUGUUGAGAUUGAUCCUUUUCUAGGAGGUUGGCGAUUUUAGCAGCCAAUAUCUGUUCGUAAACAUCCGAUGGACUCAAAUCAUCAAUUUUACCUUGAAGUGAAGGAUAUUGAUUCAAAAAUCCUGGAUCAGGAUAGAUUUCAUAUGGAAUAUCAGAUGUGUACUGAGGAAAAAAAGUCAGGAAAAAAAGUCAAAUUAAUAGAUCUAGAUAAUUUAACAGAACGUUUUAAUCUGUUCUCAAGGUUUGCCUGGUGUAAAUCAAAGGCCUGAAGUGAAUUUAAAGAUAAUCCUUUAGAGUUAUCAAGUAAAUAUUAUUUGUUAUAUUUUCAUCUUCUUUUUCAUAUGCUCAUUUGAUUGUAUUAUCUUUCCUCUAAGGUUUCAUAACCGAUCAACUUGAACAAAUUACUUAAAUUACUGGAAAUCAAAGGGUCAUAUAAGUCAACCACAAGUCAAAUUAUCAAGGACAACUGAUUAAUAAACUCUAAUAAUGUGUCCUUCAAUUGUAACUAUAAGAGAAUAGGAAUAAUCAGAUGGAUAAUUGAAACAAUUUGAUUCAAUAUUGUGAUGCCAUGGACCAAGUUCACUGUCAACAACCAUAACAACAUUGAAUGAUCAAACCUACACAAAUGAAAAAAUAAUCAUUUCAAAUCUGGAUUCUUAUCAAUCAACAAUGGAUAAAUCUCAUUUAAAUCAUACAUAAUGUAAUUUGUAUUUAACCUGUUGUCAAUGAUGGAUAUUGAUUUGUUCAAUUUACCCAAAAUACAAUCAUCUCGGCAAUAAUUAUAAACCUCAUAAAUGAUCAACAUCAAAUUUUGGUAACUGUUGAAUUGUAAAAAUCUGACAGCCAAGGAACAAUCAGACACGAUGUUUAAAUCUUGGAAAAUUGCAUGUCUAAUGAUUGUUAUCAAAUUGUUCCUGAGUAAACUGGAAAACCAUGUCACUUAAUGAUCAACCAGAUUUAAAAUCACACAACCAACAAGGAUUUUGUUGAAACCUUUUAUUAACUCUUAAAUUCACCAAGAAAUACAUGAAAACUGAGCAAUUUUUUCCUCAAUAUGCACCAAACGAAGAGAAAAGGAGAAAAGUAUUUCAUGUUGUUACCUUAAUCCAGCUUAUUUUAACAUCUAUCAGUACAACUCUUUUACUUUUCUCCAUGUUUUCACUGGAAACAUUUACAAACACGAACAAAAUUAAGCUUACUUGAAUCAUCAAUUUAGCUUUACUUUUUAUCUUGUUUCAUUUUGUUCCACCAUCUCAGAUGAUGAACAAAAAUGAUGAAUGUGAAGAGCCCAUGAAUAUUAUCAUUACAUUGUUACAACUAAUCGUAAUAAUAGCAAUGAUAAUAUUUCUCCUGAGUUUUCUGUUAUUUAAGUUACAUUCAGUCAUUUUACAUAUCCAAUGAUGUGUAUUCACCAUGUUUGGUGAAACAAAACACAAAACAAAAAAUUAUAACAUUUAUAAUUAUCAUUUCUUUCAACUGAUACCAUAACUCAUUGGUUUUACAGCAAAAAGAUCAACAUUGUUUCAUCAUUAAAUAUAUUAAAUGAUUAAUAUUGCA